UACAGAGGUCCCGAGCGUUGUUCGGAUUCACUGGGCGUAAAGGGUGCGUAGGUGGCGGGGUAAGUCGGAUGUGAAAUCUCGGAGCUCAACUCCGAAACUGCAUUGGAAACCACCUUGCUUGAGGGUUGGAGGGGGGACUGGAAUACUUGGUGUAGCAGUGAAAUGCGUAGAUAUCAAGUGGAACACCAGUGGCGAAGGCGAGUCCCUGGACAACUCCUGACACUGAGGCACGAAAGCCAGGGGAGCAAACGGG
rnacentral:rRNA from 1 species